UCCUGCAGGUAUAACUAGGUAGAAG
rnacentral:piRNA from 1 species